GUUGGGUAGGGGAGCGUUCUGUAAGCCUGCGAAGGUGUACUGUGAGGUAUGCUGGAGGUAUCAGAAGUGCGAAUGCUGACAUAAGUAACGAUAAUGCGGGUGAAAAACCCGCACGCCGGAAGACCAAGGGUUCCUGUCCAACGUUAAUCGGGGCAGGGUGAGUCGACCCCUAAGGCGAGGCUGAAAAGCGUAGUCGAUGGGAAACGGGUUAAUAUUCCCGUACUGGUGGUAACUGCGAUGGGGGAACGGAGAAGGCUAGGUUGUCCGGGCGACGGUCGUCCCGGUUCAAGCAGGUAGGCAGAGUGAUUAGGCAAAUCCGGUCACUUAAUGCUGAGAUGUGAUGACGAACCACUAAGGUGGUGAAGCAAUUGAUGCCCCGCUUCCAGGAAAAGCCUCUAAGCUUCAGGUUACCAACAAUCGUACCCCAAACCGACACAGGUGGUCAGGUAGAGAAUACUCAGGCGCUUGAGAGAACUCGGGUGAAGGAACUAGGCAAAAUGGUGCCGUAACUUCGGGAGAAGGCACGCUGGCGGUAGGUAAAGUCCCUCGCGGACGGCGCUGAAGCCAGUCGAAGAUACCAGCUGGCUGCAACUGUUUAUUAAAAACACAGCACUGUGCAAACACGAAAGUGGACGUAUACGGUGUGACGCCUGCCCGGUGCUGGAAGGUUAAUUGAUGGGGUUAGCGUAAGCGAAGCUCCUGAUCGAAGCCCCAGUAAACGGCGGCCGUAACUAUAACGGUCCUAAGGUAGCGAAAUUCCUUGUCGGGUAAGUUCCGACCUGCACGAAUGGCGUAAUGAUGGCCAGGCUGUCUCCACCCGAGACUCAGUGAAAUUGAACUCGCUGUGAAGAUGCAGUGUACCCGCGGCAAGACGGAAAGACCCCGUGAACCUUUACUAUAGCUUGACACUGAACAUUGAGCCUUGAUGUGUAGGAUAGGUGGGAGGCUUUGAAGUGUGGACGCCAGUCUGCAUGGAGCCAACCUUGAAAUACCACCCUUUAACGUUUGAUGUUCUAACCUAGGCCCAUAAACUGGGUCGGGGACCGUGUCUGGUGGGUAGUUUGACUGGGGCGGUCUCCUCCUAAAGAGUAACGGAGGAGCACGAAGGUUGGCUAAGCAUGGUCGGACAUCAUGCGGUUAGUGCAAAGGCAUAAGCCAGCUUGACUGCGAGAGUGACGGCUCGAGCAGGUACGAAAGUAGGUCUUAGUGAUCCGGUGGUUCUGAAUGGAAGGGCCAUCGCUCAACGGAUAAAAGGUACUCCGGGGAUAACAGGCUGAUACCGCCCAAGAGUUCAUAUCGACGGCGGUGUUUGGCACCUCGAUGUCGGCUCAUCACAUCCUGGGGCUGAAGUAGGUCCCAAGGGUAUGGCUGUUCGCCAUUUAAAGUGGUACGCGAGCUGGGUUUAGAACGUCGUGAGACAGUUCGGUCCCUAUCUGCCGUGGGCGUUGGAAGAUUGAGAGGGGUUGCUCCUAGUACGAGAGGACCGGAGUGAACGCACCACUGGUGUUCGGGUUGUCAUGCCAAUGGCAUUGCCCGGUAGCUAAGUGCGGAAGAGAUAACCGCUGAAAGCAUCUAAGCGGGAAACUUGCCUCGAGAUGAGUCUUCCCUGUCGCUUUAAGCGACCUAAAGGAACGUUUAAGACUAAGACGUUGAUAGGCUGGGUGUGUAAGCGUAGCGAUACGUUGAGCUAACCAGUACUAAUGAACCGUGAGGCUUAACCUG
rnacentral:rRNA from 1 species